UGCAACUCGACUCCAUGAAGUCGGAAUCGCUAGUAAUCGUAGAUCAGAAUGCUACGGUGAAUACGUUCCCGGGCCUUGUACACACCGCCCGUCACACCAUGGGAGUGGGUUGCAAAAGAAGUAGGUAGCUUAACCUUCGGGAGGGCGCUUACCACUUUGUGAUUCAUGACUGGGGUGAAGUCGUAACAAGGUAACCGUAGGGGAACCUGCGGUUGGAUC
rnacentral:rRNA from 1 species